CAAGAAGCAUAGAGUGGAAAAAGAGAGACAUCAUGAAGCAAAUGUUAAGCACUGCGAUAUUAUUGAUCAAUUGCUUAAAGAGCUACAACGGGCCGAUAAGAUAAUUCCCAGACCAGAGCCAAGUUUAAAUCUCAUACCAGAGAGUACAACAGAUGAAAAUUGCUGCAGCAUUGAUCAAUUAUUACGUGAUUUGGAUGAAUCCAGGAAAAAUCUCUUAGCUAGAAAUAAACAUAGGCACUCUGAUAGUACUACUAGUGCUUAUAAGGCUAGUAGUAGUGCUGCUGUAGCAACUGAUGGUACAACUCGAGAAAAAUCUUGUGAUCCAACAGCGCAAGAAGUAGUUUCCUCUGAUGAUGAAAGACCAUAUGAUCCUAGCUUGGUCUGUCCUAAAUGUGGCCGGAAAUUUCGUGUGGGACAGGAAAAAAAAACAAAGACGACAUAUUAAUGAAUUCUGCACAAUGAAAUAACACUAUUUUUAUAAUUUUUUUAUUGGUAAAUCUCAUAUUAGUUGUUAUUGCA